CAGGAUGAACGCUAGCGACAGGCUAACACAUGCAAGUCGAGGGGCAGCAUAAAAGUAGCAAUACUUGGUGGCGACCGGCGCACGGGUGAGUAACGCGUAUGCAACCUACCUAUCAGAGGGGAAUAACCCGGCGAAAGUCGGACUAAUACCGCAUAAAACAGGGACACCGCAUGGUGAUAUUUGUUAAAGAAAUUCGCUGAUAGAUGGGCAUGCGUUCCAUUAGGUAGUUGGUGAGGUAACGGCUCACCAAGCCGACGAUGGAUAGGGGAACUGAGAGGUUGGUCCCCCACACUGGUACUGAGACACGGACCAGACUCCUACGGGAGGCAGCAGUGAGGAAUAUUGGUCAAUGGGCGAGAGCCUGAACCAGCCAAGUCGCGUGAAAGGAAGAAGGAUCUAUGGUUCGUAAACUUCUUUUGCAGGGGAAUAAAGUGCAGGACGUGUCCUGUUUUGUAUGUACCCUGAGAAUAAGGAUCGGCUAACUCCGUGCCAGCAGCCGC
rnacentral:rRNA from 1 species